rnacentral:RNase_P_RNA from 3 species
GUUUUGCAUCGGAUAGUUGCUCCGACCCAGGUCGGAGAGGAAAGUCCGAACACGUACAUAAUUUUUUGUGUAAGAGGGUAGUGGGUAAUACCCAUCCUCCGACCUUGGUCGGAGAGGGAUGCGAGCAGAGACGAUUAUUUUCGAGAGAAAAUAAUCGCCCCGAGAGUAAUCGAGGGGCGUAGUUCUACAGUAAUGUAGAAAGUGAAACGGCAAAAUUCCUAUCUACGUGCAAGGCCGUACUCCCCGCCAACAUCUGCAAAGUUGUGGCGGGGAGGGUGCCGCUUCAGGUCAGUGGUAACAUUGAUCGCAGAUAAAUAACUAUCGCUAUCUUGUCUACGACAAGAUCACGGAUUUACGCAGAUAAAAAUACACGCAGAUUUUCGCAGAUGAAUUUCAUCCGCGUUGAUCAGCGUCAGAUCAGCGUUGAUCAGUGUUCUCGCCGUAGGCGAGAUGGUACAGAAUUCGGCUUAUAGAUGCAAAACAAAG